rnacentral:rRNA from 1 species
GAUUCGUCACACUAUCAUUAACUGAAUCCAUAGGUUAAUGAGGCGAACCGGGGGAACUGAAACAUCUAAGUACCCCGAGGAAAAGAAAUCAACCGAGAUUCCCCCAGUAGCGGCGAGCGAACGGGGAGGAGCCCAGAGCCUGAAUCAGCAUGUGUGUUAGUGGAAGCGUCUGGAAAGGCGCGCGAUACAGGGUGACAGCCCCGUACACAAAAGCGCAUGUGCUGUGAGCUCGAUGAGUAGGGCGGGACACGUGGUAUCCUGUCUGAAUAUGGGGGGACCAUCCUCCAAGGCUAAAUACUCCUGACUGACCGAUAGUGAACCAGUACCGUGAGGGAAAGGCGAAAAGAACCCCGGCGAGGGGAGUGAAAAAGAACCUGAAACCGUGUACGUACAAGCAGUGGGAGCCCCACCACUAAGCCAGUGGUGAACUCCACAUCCGCAUCCUUUGCUGAGGAUACGGUUAACGGAGCGAAAGCGACGUUCAACCGCAAAACAAGCAGAGGGGGCUUAGUGGUGGGGUGACUGCGUACCUUUUGUAUAAUGGGUCAGCGACUUAUAUUCUGUAGCAAGGUUAACCGAAUAGGGGAGCCGGAGGGAAACCGAGUCUUAAUUGGGCGUUAAGUUGCAGGGUAUAGACCCGAAACCCGGUGAUCUAGCCAUGGGCAGGUUGAAGGUUGGGUAACACUAACUGGAGGACCGAACCGACUAAUGUUGAAAAAUUAGCGGAUGACCUGUGGCUGGGGGUGAAAGGCCAAUCAAACCGGGAGAUAGCUGGUUCUCCCCGAAAGCUAUUUAGGUAGCGCCUCGUGAAUUCAUCUCCGGGGGUAGAGCACUGUUUCGGCUAGGGGGCCAUCCCGGCUUACCAACCCGAUGCAAACUGCGAAUACCGGAGAAUGUUAUCACGGGAGACACACGGCGGGUGCUAACGUCCGUCGUGAAGAGGGAAACAACCCAGACCGCCAGCUAAGGUCCCAAAGUCAUGGUUAAGUGGGAAACGAUGUGGGAAGGCCCAGACAGCCAGGAUGUUGGCUUAGAAGCAGCCAUCAUUUAAAGAAAGCGUAAUAGCUCACUGGUCGAGUCGGCCUGCGCGGAAGAUGUAACGGGGCUAAACCAUGCACCGAAGCUGCGGCAGCGAACGUAUCACCCAAGACAACUUUACGGAGUUGACGAUUGACGGAGCGAAGCGACGUCAAAGCGUUCAUUAAAGUCGAGUUGGCUUAGGGAUACGUUCGUUGGGUAGGGGAGCGUUCUGUAAGCCUGUGAAGGUGUGUCGUGAGGCAUGCUGGAGGUAUCAGAAGUGCGAAUGCUGACAUAAGUAACGAUAAAGCGGGUGAAAAGCCCGCUCGCCGGAAGACCAAGGGUUCCUGUCCAACGUUAAUCGGGGCAGGGUGAGUCGACCCCUAAGGCGAGGCCGAAAGGCGUAGUCGAUGGGAAACGGGUUAAUAUUCCCGUACUUGGUGUUACUGCGAAGGGGGGACGGAGAAGGCUAUGUUGGCCGGGCGACGGUUGUCCCGGUUUAAGCGUGUAGGUGUGUGUUCCAGGUAAAUCCGGUUCACUUUAACACUGAGGCGUGACGACGAGGCACUACGGUGCUGAAGCAACAAAUGCCCUGCUUCCAGGAAAAGCCUCUAAGCAUCAGGUAACACGAAAUCGUACCCCAAACCGACACAGGUGGUCAGGUAGAGAAUACCAAGGCGCUUGAGAGAACUCGGGUGAAGGAACUAGGCAAAAUGGUGCCGUAACUUCGGGAGAAGGCACGCUGACACGUAGGUGAAGUGAUUUACUCAUGGAGCUGAAGUCAGUCGAAGAUACCAGCUGGCUGCAACUGUUUAUUAAAAACACAGCACUGUGCAAACACGAGAGUGGACGUAUACGGUGUGACGCCUGCCCGGUGCCGGAAGGUUAAUUGAUGGGGUCAGCGUAAGCGAAGCUCCUGAUCGAAGCCCCGGUAAACGGCGGCCGUAACUAUAACGGUCCUAAGGUAGCGAAAUUCCUUGUCGGGUAAGUUCCGACCUGCACGAAUGGCGUAAUGAUGGCCAGGCUGUCUCCACCCGAGACUCAGUGAAAUUGAACUCGCUGUGAAGAUGCAGUGUACCCGCGGCAAGACGGAAAGACCCCGUGAACCUUUACUAUAGCUUGACACUGAACAUUGAGCCUUGAUGUGUAGGAUAGGUGGGAGGCUUUGAAGUGUGGACGCCAGUCUGCAUGGAGCCGACCUUGAAAUACCACCCUUUAAUGUUUGAUGUUCUAACGUGGACCCGUAAUCCGGGUUGCGGACAGUGUCUGGUGGGUAGUUUGACUGGGGCGGUCUCCUCCUAAAGAGUAACGGAGGAGCACGAAGGUUGGCUAAUCCUGGUCGGACAUCAGGAGGUUAGUGCAAUGGCAUAAGCCAGCUUGACUGCGAGCGUGACGGCGCGAGCAGGUGCGAAAGCAGGUCAUAGUGAUCCGGUGGUUCUGAAUGGAAGGGCCAUCGCUCAACGGAUAAAAGGUACUCCGGGGAUAACAGGCUGAUACCGCCCAAGAGUUCAUAUCGACGGCGGUGUUUGGCACCUCGAUGUCGGCUCAUCACAUCCUGGGGCUGAAGUAGGUCCCAAGGGUAUGGCUGUUCGCCAUUUAAAGUGGUACGCGAGCUGGGUUUAGAACGUCGUGAGACAGUUCGGUCCCUAUCUGCCGUGGGCGCUGGAGAACUGAGGGGGGCUGCUCCUAGUACGAGAGGACCGGAGUGGACGCAUCACUGGUGUUCGGGUUGUCAUGCCAAUGGCACUGCCCGGUAGCUAAAUGCGGAAGAGAUAAGUGCUGAAAGCAUCUAAGCACGAAACUUGCCCCGAGAUGAGUUCUCCCUGAGACUUAGAGUCUCCUGAAGGAACGUUGAAGACGACGACGUUGAUAGGCCGGGUGUGUAAGCGCAGCGAUGCGUUGAGCUAACCGGUACUAAUGAACCGUGAGGCUUAACCUU